UAAUGAAAAUGGUAAUUAAGACUUCAGUUCUAGAAAUUUUAACUUCUUUAAUCCUCUUGUUUACCUAGGUCUUUCAAGUAAUGAGAAAAUUGUGAAUUUUAUAUUAUCAUGGAAUUUAAUUAUGAGCUUUGUAAACCCUUGUUCAAUUGUUUGCUCUAAUGGACCAAGUUUGGUAUGUCCUAAACUCUAUUACAGUUCAUAAAUUCUGUUUAAAUUAGUUAUUGGACUUGAAGUGGAGAUCAAUGAAGAGGAUGUGAAUAAUAUUAUAUAUUGUACAGGUCAUUGAGAAGCACUGACUUUUAAAUUGUGUUCAUG
rnacentral:misc_RNA from 1 species